GACUACGCUGCUGUAGUACGCGGUGACUUGGAAAGGCCAGCCACCGUCGCGUCAGGAGGCUUCGAUGCCGCUCUUCAAUUAUCGCCCGACCACCAUUUGACACACAAGAAACAGCUGUUUGUUAGUUCAGCAGUUGAUUACCAGGAGGCCUUCUCUCGAGCAUUUUCCUAAUAAUUUUUACAACAUCCGACAGAUGGAACUGGUCGUCACGGUCACGUGAUACUCUUCAGGGUCAAUUCGAACUAUUUAAAGCGCUGAAAAAUCAAACUUUCCAUGCGGAUGAUUAUUACGGGUUGCAGAAUUGUAUUGCAAACAACUCCUUGAACGACUUUGAUUCGUGUGAUUGAGUUUUAUUGAAAUGAUAAAAUAUCAUUAAUCGCACGAAGUUUUACUUCGUUUAUUUUUUGUACAGGAAUUCUUGUGCAAUAUUCACGCCCGCGAAUCAGCUUACAUAAAUUAUUUCUUGACUUUCGGUACAUCAGGACCCCGAUUCUGACUUGUUUUUGACUCGUGAAAACGUUAAUAAGCACCAUCUAGACCAAUCAGAAGUCAACUCAUGUUCACAACUAUUAUUACGUCUGAAUUUUGCUGUAUAUUACAGCACUGUUUUAGAAUAUGUGGAUGAUUGUGAUUCGAAUAAACUUGUAGACAACCUGCCGAUAUACCUAUAUUACCAAUAUACACCUUAAGAAAUCAAUAACUUAUUAAAUUACCCACUCUGCGUGCCAAUAAUCAUAGAGAAUUCUAUUUACAUGAGAUAAUUUUAGUGGAUGA